rnacentral:rRNA from 1 species
CGUAAACGAUGAGUGCUAAGUGUUGGAGGGUUUCCCCAUUCAGUGCUGCAGCAAACGCAUUAAGCACUCCGCUGGGGAGUACGACCGCAAGGUUGAAACUCAAAGGAAUUGACGGGGGCCCGCACAAGCGGUGGAGCAUGUGGUUUAAUUCGAAGCAACGCGAAGAACCUUACCAGGUCUUGACAUCCUUUGACCACUCUAGAGAUAGAGCUUUCCCUUCGGGGACAAAGUGACAGGUGGUGCAUGGUUGUCGUCAGCUCGUGUCGUGAGAUGUUGGGUUAAGUCCCGCAACGAGCGCAACCCUUAUUGUUAGUUGCCAUCAUUUAGUUGGGCACUCUAGCGAGACUGCCGGUGACAAACCGGAGGAAGGUGGGGAUGACGUCAAAUCAUCAUGCCCCUUAUGACCUGGGCUACACACGUGCUACAAUGGGAAGUACAACGAGUCGCUAGGCCGCGAGGUCAUGCAAAUCUCUUAAAGCUUCUCUCAGUUCGGAUUGUAGGCUGCAACUCGCCUACAUGAAGCCGGAAUCGCUAGUAAUCGCGGAUCAGCACGCCGCGGUGAAUACGUUCCCGGGCCUUGUACACACCGCCCGUCACACCACGAGAGUUUGUAACACCCGAAGUCGGUGAGGUAACCUUUUGGAGCCAGCCGCCUAAGGUGGGAUAGAUGAUUGGGGUGAAGUCGUAACAAGGUAACCA